UGCAUCAGUAUCUCCUUAGCCUUGUCACAUAAUGCUCUGACCUGGGGCUCGGAGAUUGGUUUGCACUUUAUGAGCUGCGAGAUCUGCUCAUCGAGAUCGGUGAUUGAAUCUGAAGAUAGCGAAUUCGAGCCCAUCUUCGUUGUUUCUCUUCGGCUCUAAGACCAAGAACGGGUUUACGGUAUCCGGAUUAGGGAUAACCCUAACCCUAAGAUUGAAUGAGAUGCUUCUUAUGUCUUCUUUUCAGUUUAUGGCAGUUGGUUUGCGCCGCGAACGAGGAGGAACUUGC
rnacentral:misc_RNA from 1 species